GACGAACGCUGGCGGCGUGCUUAACACAUGCAAGUCGAACGGAAGGGCCCUGAGUUUGCGGGGUGCUCGAGAGGCGAAGGGGUGAGUAACACGUGAGUAACCUGCCCUUGACUUUGGGAGAACUUCAGGAAACUGGGGCUAUAACCGGAGAGGAGCUCCUGCUGCACGGGGGGGGUUGGAAAGUGUCGGCGGUUGGGGCUGGACUAGCAGCUUAUCCGCUUGUUGGUGGGGUAGUGGAUUACCAAGGCUUUGACGGGUAGGCGGCCUUAGAGGGUGGCCGGCCACAUGAGGACUGCGAGACGGCCCAGUCUCCUACGGGACGCAGCAGUCGGGAGUAUUGCACAAUGGGCCGACGCCUGUGACGGCAGCGCCGCGUGCGGGAUGACGGCUUUCGGGUUGUAAACCGCUUUCGCCUGUGCCGAAGCGUGAGUGACGGUAAUGGGUAAAGAAGCACCGGCUAACUACGUG
rnacentral:rRNA from 1 species